UACGUAGGGUGCGAGCGUUUGUCCGGAAUUAUUGGGCGUAAAGAGCUUGUAGGCGGUUUGUCGCGUCUGCUGUGAAAAUCCGGGGCUCAACCCCGGACUUGCAGUGGGUACGGGCAGACUAGAGUGUGGUAGGGGAGAUUGGAAUUCCUGGUGUAGCGGUGGAAUGCGUAGAGAUCCGGAAGAACACCGGUGGCGAAGGCGGUCUGCUGGGACGAGUUGCUGACGCUGAUGCGGCGACAGCGUGGGGAGCAA
rnacentral:rRNA from 1 species